GACGAACGCUGGCGGCGUGCCUAAUACAUGCAAGUAGAACGCUGAAGAGAGGAGCUUGCUCUUCUUGGAUGAGUUGCGAACGGGUGAGUAACGCGUAGGUAGCCUGCCUUGUAGCGGGGGAUAACUAUUGGAAACGAUAGCUAAUACCGCAUAACAAUGGAUGACACAUGUCAUUUAUUUGAAAGGGGCAAUUGCUCCACUACAAGAUGGACCUGCGUUGUAUUAGCUAGUAGGUGAGGUAACGGCUCACCUAGGCGACGAUACAUAGCCGACCUGAGAGGGUGAUCGGCCACACUGGGACUGAGACACGGCCCAGACUCCUACGGGAGGCAGCAGUAGGGAAUCUUCGGCAAUGGGGGCAACCCUGACCGAGCAACGCCGCGUGAGUGAAGAAGGUUUUCGGAUCGUAAAGCUCUGUUGUAAGUCAAGAACGAGUGUGAGAGUGGAAAGUUCACACUGUGACGGUAGCUUACCAGAAAGGGACGGCUAACUACGUG
rnacentral:rRNA from 1 species